rnacentral:rRNA from 1 species
CGUCUAUAUACGUAUAGCAUAUCAAUAAGCGGAGGAAAAGAAACUAACUAAGGAUUCCCUUAGUAACGGCGAGUGAAGCGGGAAGAGCUCAAAUUUGAAAUCUUCAAGGUUCUACCUUGACGAAUUGUAGUUUAAAGAAGUGUUUUCUGUUGGAGUUUUGGUAAAAGUUCUUUGGAAAUAGGACAUCAAUAGAGGGUGAGAAUCCCGUAUUUGACCAUUAUCUUCCAGCUUUGUGAUACACUUUCAAAGAGUCGGAUUGUUUGGGAAUGCAGUCCAAAAUGGGUGGUAAAUUUCAUCUAAAGCUAAAUAUUGGCGAGAGACCGAUAGCGAACAAGUACCGUGAGGGAAAGAUAAAAGAACUUUGAAAAGAGAGUUAAACAGUACGUGAAAUUGUCAAAAGGGAAGCGUUUGACACCAGUGUUGUUUUCUCGAAAAUCAAUUAAAAAAUGACCGGAUUUUGUGUUGUAUUGACCUUUAUAAGCUUUCUUCACUCUUUUCUUGUCUUUUUUAAUGCACUUUUCGUUUAACAAGUCAACAUCAGUUUCUUUUGUUGUAAAAGGGUCAUUGGAAGGUGGCUUUCUUUUCGGAGAAAGUGUUUAUAGCCUUGUGCCUCUGCAAUCGGAGAGAUUGAGGUCUGCAGCGUAGAUCCUUCGGGGUUAGAUACAUUUGUGCUAAGUUAUAGUUCUUUAUAGACAACUUGUUGACUAUAAUCAAUCCUGUAACUUACUCGCUUAUGCUAUUUUACCUACGCUUAGGAUGUUGAUAUGCAUGACUGAUAU